rnacentral:rRNA from 1 species
GAGCGAACGCUGGCGGCAGGCUUAACACAUGCAAGUCGAGCGGGCAUCUUCGGAUGUCAGCGGCAGACGGGUGAGUAACACGUGGGAACGUACCCUUCGGUUCGGAACAACUCUGGGAAACUGGAGCUAAUACCGGAUACGCCCUUAUGGGGAAAGGUUUACUGCCGAAGGAUCGGCCCGCGUCUGAUUAGCUAGUUGGUGGGGUAACGGCCUACCAAGGCGACGAUCAGUAGCUGGUCUGAGAGGAUGAUCAGCCACACUGGGACUGAGGCACGGCCCAGACUCCUACGGGAGGCAGCAGUGGGGAAUAUUGGACAAUGGGCGCAAGCCUGAUCCAGCCAUGCCGCGUGAGUGAUGAAGGCCUUAGGGUUGUAAAGCUCUUUUGUCCGGGACGAUAAUGACGGUACCGGAAGAAUAAGCCCCGGCUAACUUCGUA